rnacentral:rRNA from 1 species
UACAGAGGUCUCAAGCGUUGUUCGGAUUCAUUGGGCGUAAAGGGUGCGUAGGCGGGUCUUUAAGUCCGGGGUGAAAUCCUGGAGCUCAACUCCAGAACUGCCUUUGAUACUGAAGAUCUUGAGUUCGGGAGAGGUGAGUGGAACUGCGAGUGUAGAGGUGAAAUUCGUAGAUAUUCGCAAGAACACCAGUGGCGAAGGCGGCUCACUGGCCCGAUACUGACGCUGAGGCACGAAAGCGUGGGGAGCAAACAGG